AUUCAUCUUAUUUACAAUAACCAAAUAUAAAUGAGAACUAUAUGUGCCUAUCUGACAGCAAACAACAUCAUCCAUUGGUCCACAGGGAAGCAGCAGGAUCAGGAACUCCUCUGCAGGUAUUCAGUAAGUGUCCUGAAACAUUGGAGCCCUUUCCACUAGGAAGAAAAUGGAGUGUUGAAGAUGCAACUCUGCUUUCAAAAUUUCUCGAGUAUAUUGCAGACUGCCUAAAACCGCACAAGUCCCAGAUUCUCCACCACAUUUUUAACCAGAACUGAAAUUUGCUGCACGCUUCCUAAACUCCAAAGUCCCUGCUGUUUCUGAACUGAAAAAAAUGAGAAAAACAGAGCACCUCGUCCAUGAUCAUGAGAAUGUUCAAAGUAACUAAAAUUGUUUCCAUGAAAAUUGUUAAAUUUAAUAUUAAACAAAAAGGUACAAUUAUUCCUAAGUACUUUCAAUGCUUACUAUCUCACGGCAUCUAUCUUCAGCAAAAUAAAAGCUUAAGAGUUUUUUUAAUUUAAGAAUAAAAAUCAACAUAACUUAUCAACUUAUAACA